GCGGUAGUGGUGGAAUUGGUAGACACGCCAGCUUGAGGGGCUGGUGCUGGCAACGGCGUGGAGGUUCAAGUCCUCUCUACCGCA
rnacentral:tRNA from 1 species